UGGACCUGGAUGCACCAAACAAGCAGGCAAAGCCACAAAACACAGACUCAGAAUCAUUUUCUCUUCCUCUUUUCUUUUGUUUAUCUAUCAUAUCAUAUCAUAAUUCAUAUCUACGUUUGUUACAAAAUCCUUUCACAUACCAUACCAUACUAUAAAUACAAUUCAACUCUCUGUCCGCUUUUCCACUUUUCUCUUUUCUCUCUGCUCUCCUUUCUAUUUCUCAAUCGAACAACACAACACAAUCCUUAAACUCUCUCUCUCUCUCUCUCUCUCUCUCUCUUCAAUUUCGUUGAUGGCGUCACAAGCAAGCCUCCUCCUUCAGAAGCAGCUCAAAGAUCUUUGCAAGAACCCCGUCGAUGGCUUUUCCGCCGGUUUGGUCGACGAAACCAACAUUUUUGAAUGGAGUGUGACUAUAAUUGGACCUCCCGAUACUCUUUAUGAGGGGGGAUUUUUCAAUGCCAUUAUGAGCUUUCCACCCAACUACCCAAAUAGUCCACCAUCAGUGAAAUUUACCUCAGAGUUAUGGCAUCCCAAUGUGUAUCCUGAUGGGCGAGUUUGCAUAUCAAUUCUUCAUCCUCCUGGUGACGACCCAAAUGGUUAUGAGCUUGCAAGUGAGCGCUGGACGCCUGUUCAUACAGUAGAGAGUAUAGUAUUAAGUAUCAUAUCGAUGCUUUCUAGUCCUAAUGAUGAAUCUCCUGCAAAUGUUGAAGCUGCGAAGGAGUGGAGAGAUAGGAGAGAUGAAUUCAAGAAGAAGGUUAGCCGAUGUGUGCGGAAGUCACAAGAAAUGUUGUGAUUUACAGCUUGGAUUCUCAUCUUCCUUUUGUGAACAGAAGGAUAUACAACUUAAUGUGUGGAUUGGUUCACCUGUUACUGUUGAACCGAGUAUAGUGCCAUUUGUCUUGGAAAAACCAACUGUAUUCUAAGUGCUUGGCACUUCUUUACCUGUAUAUGGCUGUUUUCCCUAGCGCUUCAGUACUUUGUUUACUUGGAUGGUAGGGGAGACCAUAGAGGUUGCUCUUUUGGCGUGGAGGCAUCAUCACAUCACUUAUUAUCUAUUAUUUUUUUCUCAAUUUUUUUCCUUUCACCUCGCUACAUUCUUGGAAUUAUAGUUUUAAAAAUCUAACCAGUGAUUGAGCUGAUUUGGACAUUGGAUCACUUAGUCAAUGAUUAUUGAACUUUGAAAUUAUUAAUAUACAAUAUGAUUAUAGGGCAAACAAUAGUGUAUAUAUUACUCCUAUAUAAUGUAAAAAAUUACUCUUUAGAGUGUAAACUUGAGUAAAA